rnacentral:snoRNA from 1 species
AAGACUAUGCUUUCAGGAAUCAUUUUAUAGUUUGUUACUGGAGAAGUUUUUCUAAACGUGUGGAGCCCCGGAAACCGCGAAGAAGGGACGGAAACCACGAGGAAGAGACGUAGUGUUGUUCCUUGAGCGUGAAGCCAGUGUUUGGUGUUGCUUCACUGCAACCGCCUUUUGCUAUUGAUGAUCGUUCUUCUCUCCGUUUUGGGGAGUAAAAGGGAAAGAACAAGGUCUGAGUGGU